rnacentral:rRNA from 1 species
UUAGGACGAACGCUGGCGGCGUGCUUAACACAUGCAAGUCGAACGGAAAGGCCGUCAGCUUGCUGGGGGUACUCGAGUGGCAACGGGGUGAGUAACACGUGGGUGAUCUGCCCUGCACUUCGGGAUAAGCCUGGGAAACUGGGUCUAAUACCGGAUAGGACCAUCGUUUUAGUGUCGGUGGUGGAAAGUUUUUUCGGUGCAGGAUGAGCUCGCGGCCUAUCAGCUUGUUUGGUGGGGUAAUGGCCUACCAAGGCGUCGACGGGUAGCCGGCCUGAGAGGGUGGACGGCCACAUUGGGACUGAGACACGGCCCAGACUCCUACGGGAGGCAGCAGGUGGGGAAUAUUGCACAAGUGGGCGCAAGCCUGAAUGCAGCGACGCCGCGGUGGGGGAUGACGGUCCGUUCGGGUUAGUAAACUUCCUUUCAACCAUGACGAAGUCUUUUGUGACGGUAGUGGUAGAAGAAGCACCGGCUAACUACGUGCCAGCCGCAGC